rnacentral:rRNA from 1 species
UACGAAGGGGGCUAGCGUUGUUCGGAAUUACUGGGCGUAAAGCGCGCGCAGGCGGUCUUCUAAGUCAGUGGUGAAAGCCCGGAGCUCAACUCCGGAAUUGCCAUUGAAACUGUGAGACUGGAGUUCGAGAGAGGUGAGUGGAAUUCCCAGUGUAGAGGUGAAAUUCGUAGAUAUUGGGAAGAACACCGGUGGCGAAGGCGGCUCACUGGCUCGUAACUGACGCUCAGGCGCGACAGCGUGGGGAUCAAACAGG